AAGAGAAAGUAGAGGAAAGUUUGGAGGAGUGCUGCGGUGGGCUAAGAAGUCCAAGACCCUAGCUGAAAACUGAAAAACACUUAUUCAAAAAAAUAAAAGGCUGCUGUGGUACCUCCUUGGAUUUGGUUGAUGAGCCAGAUGGAAGUCGAUAUGGUUCCAUAGGAUGGAAUUUCUGUAGAUUUGUUUGUGGGGUCUCUGCCAUUGACUAUCACAGAAAGAUGAAAAGGGAACACAAGUCCUCUCUUCCCGUUAUCUGAAGAUGUGAGAAAAGGAAUGUCUCCAAAGUAAAAUCAAAAUAACUCAGGCCAGGCCUUGUGGACAACCUUUGACAGAAACAGCUUCCUUGAGGGAGCCAUUCCAGAGAGAUCAGCUUUUGAUUCCUCAAAGACAUCAAUCAUCCCCAUCUCUUGUAAAGGAGGCAAAAUAUCAGUUUCCCAUGUUUCAGCAACCGUUCUUUGAUGGAAAAAGAAAGGACAGGGCAGGAUUGUGGUCAUGUUAUCAACUGCACUGCAUCAGCACCUGGAGAUUUCAGAAUUUGAUGAAAAGCUGAGAGUGUGAGAGAGAGGAAGGAAGCGAGGCAGAAAAUAACACACAAGGAAAAAGAGGCAGAAGAGGAUCUUAUGUGCCUCUGUGGUGCUGGCAACUAAGUAUCCCCAUCGAUGGACUAAGGACUGGCGGUCAUUUGUUUUUCAGGAAACAAGUGAAAAACAAAGUUCUCUGAACAAGAGCAGGGUCUACUGGUGGUCUUCUUGCGAUGAAAAUCUUUCAAGCUGGUCUGUUCCUUCUUUUAUGGGUCAAAGGAGAUGAGAUGGAACAAGGUGGGAUGCAAGGUUUCUGACACUAGUCUGGUAUUACGAGCACCUGCAGGACUGGGUUUAAGAUUCUGAAGUCGAAGCUCAAAUUUUCUGCAUAUGCUCAACUUUAGUCACAUGAGUCAACGGACCUAUGCUGAAAUUACUUACAUGUUUAAGUCUUUCCAGGAUCAUGGCCUAAGGGAAGCACUGUUGUAGAUUAAAAAAAAGAAAUCUGUAUCCUGGUGUUUAUACCAUGUUCCAAGUGUGUAUCAUACUAAGCAUCUAAUCUUGCUACAGUUUUGCUCUUGUUUUCUUCAUUCACUUUGAGAUCACUGGCCACUACUGAAAAACAGCCCUGACAUCUUUCAUACAGUAGAAGAGUCAGGUUAUGCUUAAUAUAUACCCACAUUUUGCUUGUAAGGUUGAUAGGAUGCCAAUGUCUAUAGGUCCAUACCUAAGUUGUGCCCCACAGUGACUUUGUUGAAGGUGUCUAAGAUAAAACAAAGCUAAAAAUAUAGAAUGCUGCUAUAGUACCUGGUUUAUCCUAAAGUCUUUUGGCAUUGUGUGUUUUUCUUCAAACUUAUAUUCCCAGGUUGCUUUGAAGUAGAUUGCAUUCACUAGCACCAGCACAGCGGUUGGGUCAAUAACACCAGGAACAAAGAGUUCCCUGAUUUUACCUUAAAAACAGUCAGAGAAAAACAAGCUACAUGUAAAUUAUCAUUAGAGACAAGAUGGAUCUAGCUGAACUUUCAUAUAUUAAUAUUUAUUUGCAAGGUUAAUUUAACAUGGGGAAAAUCUAGUGCUUGGCUCUGCAAAUUAAAUCUUUCUGUUUAUCCGCAGAACGGUGAUGAAAUAGCCAGCUGCAUUGUAAGCGUCUCUAUGCACUGCUACUAAUAUGACUCAGCCCUGAUUUAGAAGGAUUAAGUAGAUAGUUCACUAAACCCACCACAUUCAACGAGGGUAUAGACAUUCACCACUGUGCAGGGGGCCAGCACCAUUUCAGUUGCAUUUUUUAAGUCAAAUAUGGACAGAAUGGCUCCAGGGAUUGGUAAUAAUCUGUGUCAGUUUUUUACUUCCAUUCUGAGGCCUGAAGUUGGAGUUAGCUGGUGCACAACCCUUGGGCUGGUUCUCUGUACAAUCAUGCAUUUCCAGCAUUGUGAGGCUGCUUUUGAAAUGUGGGCCUCAGGUUCUGAUACUAGGAACCUGACUGAAAACAACAACUCUUUCCACAUGGGUCAUUGGACAGUCAUCAGCUGAUAACUUCUUAUUCACAACUGACUUGCUUACAGAGACAAAGGCAAAUCUAUGACUUAGAGAAAAAUCUCCACCACUCAAAACCAAUCCUCUGAGCCAUUCUGUCCACGAUCAGCUUGAAAUUUCAAAGCUUGAUUAUCUUUGGCUAGGUGAGACUGCAGCCUAGGUAAAGGGAAUGUGCCAUAUAUUUUGCUCAAGCCAGUGUGCAAGAGAUCAUUACUCAUGUCUGGGUCCUUAAAGGAGAUGGUAACAGAAAAUGUAUUACUCAUGAUGUGACUGACCCUCCCUGGCAGUUAGGACAUCAUCCACACCCUGGGCAUUGCUCUGUAAUCUCUGCUUCCCACACGAUCA